rnacentral:rRNA from 1 species
GACGAACGCUGGCGGCGUGCUUAACACAUGCAAGUCGAACGGAAAGGCCCUGCUUUUGUGGGGUGCUCGAGUGGCGAACGGGUGAGUAACACGUGAGUAACCUGCCCUUGACUUUGGGAUAACUUCAGGAAACUGGGGCUAAUACAGGAUAGGAUCUCCUGCUGCAUGGUGGGGGUUGGAAAGUUUCGGCGGUUGGGGAUGGACUCGCGGCUUAUCAGCUUGUUGGUGGGGUAGUGGCUUACCAAGGCUUUGACGGGUAGCCGGCCUGAGAGGGUGAACGGCCACAAUGGGACUGCGAGACGGCGCAGACUCGUACGGGAGGCAGCAGUGGGGAGUAUUGCACAAUGGGCGGAAGCCUGAUGCAGCGACGCCGCGUGCGGGAUGACGGCCUUCGGGUUGUAAACCGCUUUCGCCUGUGACGAAGCGUGAGUGACGGUAAUGGGUAAAGAAGCACCGGCUAACUACGUG